rnacentral:rRNA from 1 species
UACGUAGGGGGCAAGCGUUGUCCGGAUUUAUUGGGCGUAAAGAGCGUGUAGGCGGUUUGGUAGGUCCGCUGUGAAAACUCGAGGCUCAACCUCGAGACGCCGGUGGAAACCAUCAGACUAGAGUCCGGAAGAGGAGAGUGGAAUUCCUAGUGUAGAGGUGAAAUUCUUAGAUAUUGGGAAGAACACCGGUGGCGAAGGCGGCUAUCUGGACCGUAACUGACGCUGAGGCGCGAAAGCGUGGGGAGCAAACAGG